rnacentral:rRNA from 1 species
GAAUCUGCCUUCAGGACGGGGAUAACAGUUGGAAACGACUGCUAAGACCGGAUGUGCCGAGAGGUGAAAUAUUUAUAGCCUGAAGAUGAGCUCGCGUCCGAUUAGCUAGUUGGUAAGGUAAAAGCUUACCAAGGCGACGAUCGGUAGCUGGUCUGAGAGGACGAUCAGCCACACUGGGACUGAGACACGGCCCAGACUCCUACGGGAGGCAGCAGUGGGGAAUUUUCCGCAAUGGGCGAAAGCCUGACGGAGCAAGACCGCGUGGGGGAGGAAGGUUCUUGGAUUGUAAACCCCUUUUCUCAGGGAAGAACAAAAUGACGGUACCUGAGGAAUCAGCAUCGGCUAACUCCGUGCCAGCAGCCGCGGUAAUACGGAGGAUGCAAGCGUUAUCCGGAAUAAUUGGGCGUAAAGCGUCCGUAGGUGGCUGUUCAAGUCUGCCGUUAAAGACCGGGGCUUAACCCUGGAAAGGCGGUGGAAACUGAACGGCUAGAGUGCAGUAGGGGUAGAGGGAAUUCCCAGUGUAGCGGUGAAAUGCGUAGAGAUUGGGAAGAACACCGGUGGCGAAAGCGCUCUGCUGGACUGCAACUGACACUGAGGGACGAAAGCUAGGGGAGCG